AAAGGAUGACCAGGAUCACUCUUUCUUCUUUGUCUUUAUCUUUUUUCAUUCUUCUCAUAAUCAUCUUCACUUUCUUCAUGCAACCAUUUCCAGUCACUGCAGGUAUCUCUCAUUGUUCAAUCAUCUAAAACUUUAAGAAAAAUAUUAUUUGAAUAGCACUAUAAUCAUGAUCACUUUGAAUUUAUACCAUGUAUGUUAUACAUAAAUUAUAUCUAAUGUUUAGUGUGAAAACAUAGUUUUAAAUUGUGAUGUGUGGAUGCCAACGUUGUUUCGUCAUGAUCCUUUUCAUAUUACACCAAAUUGGGUUUACAUGUUAUAGAUACUAUUAAGAGAAAGGGAUACUCUAUAGUUUUGAGUCAAUUUUAAAAUAUAUGAUAUUCUAAAUAUUUAAAAUAAUUGCAAUAUAUUAUAUAUUAUUUAAAAUAUAUUUAUAAUUUUAUUGAUAUAAAUUUGAACCCUUCCUCACUUACCAUCAGAUACCAUAAUAGUUAUAAUGCAAUCUCUAAUAUAAAAAAAAUGUACAAGUGUAAUAAUUAAAUUUGGAUAUAAUGUACGAAUACGAUUAAAAUACAUGUGUACUUGAUAUGUUUAUUUUAAAAAUAACAUAUAAUAUAAUAUAUAUAUAUAUAUAUAUAUAUAUAUAUAUAUAUAUAUNNNNNNNNNNNNNNNNNNNNNNNNNNNNNNNNNNNNNNNNNNNNNNNNNNNNNNNNUACAAUUUUCAAUUUCACAUAUCUUUUAAUUAUUAUUGAUUGAUCAUAUAUAUAUAUAUAUAUAUAUAUAUAUAUAUAUAUAUAUAUUAUAUAGUUCACAUCACAAAAACUUGUUUAAAUUUGUAGAUUUGAAGAUAAGAAAGUUGGGUGAUCAACCAAGCCCACCUCCUCCACCCAAGUGGGCAUUCGGAUUCAAACCACCCGUUUAUAGGCGUGAACCACCACGUUAUAAACCUCCACCUUCCGGCUAACUUUACCUUCGCCUCCGAUUUCCAUGGCAAAAGAUCUUCAAUUAUUAAUCAUCUAUGCUCCUUCACCUACUUUCUUUCUCAUCACGUGUCUCUGCUUUAUACUACUGGGUUAUAUGAUUAAAAUAAAUAACGUUAUCAUGUCAAAAUUUGAUUCAAUGUAGGAAACAUACUAUUUAUUGUCUAUUUUGGUAUGUCUCACUACAAAAAAAAGGUAUUUAUUGGUAGCCAUCGUUUUGUAGCG
rnacentral:lncRNA from 1 species